UACAUGGGGUGCAAACGUUGCUCGGAAUUAUUGGGCGUAAAGCGCACGUAGGUGGUCUGUUAUGUCAGAUGUGAAAGCCCUCGGCUUAACUGAGGAAGUGCACCUGAAACUGGCAGGCUUGAGUACGAAAGAGGGUCGCGGAAUUCCCGGUGUAGAGGUGAAAUUCGUAGAUAUCGGGAGGAACACCGGUGGCGAAGGCGGCGACCUGGUGCGAUACUGACACUGAGGCGCGAAAGCUAGGGGAGCAAACGGG
rnacentral:rRNA from 1 species